rnacentral:tRNA from 1 species
GCAGUGGUGGUUCAGGGUAAAUUCUUGCCUUCCAUGCAGGACACCCAGGUUCAAUUCCCAGCCAGUGCA